rnacentral:rRNA from 1 species
GUCCUAGCCCUAAACGAUGCUCAUUAGGUGUGGGGGGUAUCGACCCCCUCCGCGCCGAAGCUAACGCAUUAAAUGAGCCGCCUGGGGAGUACGGCCGCAAGGUUGAAACUCAAAGGAAUUGACGGGGGCCCGCACAAGCGGUGGAGCAUGUGGUUUAAUUCGACGCAACGCGAAGAACCUUACCUGGGCUUGAACUACUGGUAGUAAGUCGUUGGAAACAUCGACUGAUCCGCAAGGAAGCCAGCAGAGGUGCUGCAUGGUUGUCGU